UAGAGAGUAGUGUACUAGGAAGCACGAAGAGUUUUGAUCUCUUAAGUAGAGGCUCAUAUCCUCUCUCACUAA
rnacentral:tRNA from 1 species